GACUUUCCCCUUUAACUCGCUUUGCUUGGCGUUACCACUAGAGGGAGUAAUAAACGUAUAGGAUAUAAGUGAGACGAAGUAGAGUAAGAGUAAUAAUCCACGUUUGCUCACGAGCUAACAGGUACGACUCAGGAGAAUGAUUUGAGCUUUCAGCUUUUAGUAUCCCUUCGGCAAGCAGAGCGAGCGAGUUUUACGGUGCCACGGUGAAGUGAUCUGGUUGUAAUGAUGCUAUGAAGUCAAUCAAUGGUUGUGAUGCAUGGAGAGAAUAUGCAACAAAGAAUUGAGAUAACGAAUACUUCAGCAGUGAAGUUUAUUGCAUCUGAGUAAAAUAAAUCAAAAGGCACCCGUCAGAAACUCUCUGCCUCUUUUUGUUCGACGCUGAAGGGCUGCUACAGUAAAACUCGCUGCUAAAGAUGACGACUUCAUCGCGUGGCUGUUGUUUCCUCGCAUGAGUGGGACUUGAUGCUGCAGCGAAUGCUUUCAUCGUGCCACCUUGUUUGCAUCGCGUCAGUAAGAGACCGAUUCCAUGAUAGGACUGCAACAUUAUACAGUCAACAGCUUGGAAUACUCCUCAUUUGUGAACGACUGAAAGGUGACCGCAAAGCAAAAUUGUUGGUACAGACUCGGAGGCAAAAAAAAAAAAAGGACUCCAUGGUUAUAGCUUUUGCAUUAAGUCGAAACUUUUAUAAUUAAAGUGAUUUUGUAGUUUUGUAAGUGAA